rnacentral:rRNA from 1 species
AUUGAACGCUGGCGGCAUGCUUUACACAUGCAAGUCGAACGGUAACAGGCCGCAAGGUGCUGACGAGUGGCUAACGGGUGAGUAAUGCAUCGGAACGUGCCCAGUCGUGGGGGAUAACUACUCGUCAGAGUAGCUAAUACCGCAUACGAUCUAUGCAUGCUAUCGGGGGACCGUAAGGCCUCUCUCGAUUGGAGCGGCCGUUGUCAGAUUAGGUAGUUGGUGGGGUAAAGGCUCGCUAAGCCAACGAUCUGUAGCUGGUCUGAGAGGACAACCAGCCACACUGGGACUGAGACACGGCCCAGAAGCCGACGGGAGGGAGCAGUGGGGAAUUUUGGACAAUGGGCGGAAGCCCGAUCCAGCAAGGCCGCGUGAGGGAAGAAGGCGUUCGGGUUGUAAAAGGGUUUUGUACGGAACGAAACGGCUCUGGUUAAUACCCGGGGAUAAUGACGGUACCGUAAGAAUAAGCACCGGCUAACUACGUG